rnacentral:rRNA from 2 species
CUGAGGCGUGAUGACGAGGCACUACGGUGCUGAAGCAACAAAUGCCCUGCUUCCAGGAAAAGCCUCUAAGCAUCAGGUAACAUCAAAUCGUACCCCAAACCGACACAGGUGGUCAGGUAGAGAAUACCAAGGCGCUUGAGAGAACUCGGGUGAAGGAACUAGGCAAAAUGGUGCCGUAACUUCGGGAGAAGGCACGCUGACACGUAGGUGAAGUGAUUUACUCAUGGAGCUGAAGUCAGUCGAAG